rnacentral:rRNA from 1 species
UACGGAGGGUGCAAGCGUUAAUCGGAAUUACUGGGCGUAAAGCGCACGCAGGUGGCUGAGUCAGUCGAUUGUGAAAGCCCUGGGCUUAACCUGGAAUUGCAGUCGAUACUUCUUAGCUAGAGUAUGGGAGAGGGUAGUGGAAUUCCCGGUGUAGCGGUGAAAUGCGUAGAUAUCGGGAGGAACAUCAGUGGCGAAGGCGGCUACCUGGCCCAAUACUGACACUCAGGUGCGACAGCGUGGGGAGCAAACAGG